UGAAAAUUAAGUCUAAGGUAAUAUAUUUAUUUGAUCAGUUAAAAUAAGUUUGAAGCUUGAAAAUAGGUUUGAGGUAAUAUACUUAUUUGAUCAGUUAAAAUAGAUUUGAGAGUCCAAUUAAGUUGGAGGGGACAACAAAAGAGGCAGUUCAGUGGGACUGCAUAAGAUGCAACAGUAUCACUAACUGCUCCAAUAUAAAAAAUGUUUAUUAUUUGUUGAUGGCACAUCCUAGGAGGCCUAGCUUGUACCAUAGGAAACAAAUGACGUGGGUAAAGGGAAGUGUAUUUAUUAAUAAAAACAGAAUGGCAUUUAACUUUUUUAAUCAGAAACAAAUGGGCUGUACAAAUAAAAUCUAAGGAGUGACUUAGGAUGCCUGGAGAAUAUAUGAAACUGGAAGUUUCUCUGUAGUUGCAAAGCUAAAAAACAAUCAGAAUGUAACACUAGAAAGUCCAGCAAAACAAAGAGAAUUGCAGAUGAUUAUACACAGAACAGAACAUAGGGAAGGGUGAACGUUCAGGAAGACUCUCUUUUUAUGUUAGGGUCAAGUUUAAAGGAUACAAUUUAAUCAUCUGGGACAAUAUUGUUGACAAUAUUGCUUAUUGUUUUAUUCAAAGCAGUGUUCUUUAUAGAGUCAGAAAAAAAAUUGUCCAGGGAAGGACAAUAUAUGAAAUCAAAGCAUAACUUUGUCCAUAGCCUGCCUUAGUCUUCAACUGUUUAGACCAACCCCAGAAAACUCUUCUGCAGCAGACUUUAUGACAAGAACCAUGUGAUGAAAUUAGAGUAACAUUAGGGAGAUGCUUAAAAGCUUAGGAGCUUUAUGAGAAGGUUAAUAUUUAAUAUGAGUUAUGGAAGAUUUUUAAAGUGGGCAUUGGAUAAGAGGGAGAUUAAUUCAUGCAGGAUUAUUUUAUGACAUAGAACAGUGUUUGAACUCUUUAGCAAAGACUGAAAUAAAUUUAGUGGUUCAUCUUUAGUAGGCUUAAUUUAAAUUAAAAAUAGAAUAGAAAAGAAAAUAUUAGAGUGUGUUACAAAUAGCAGCAAGCAUUUGAUGUCAUUUUAAUUGUUCAUAUUUGUGUAGGCACUGGUCAUGAUGGAAAAUGUAUUUCUUUUUUAAACUUUAUUGUAGAGAAUUUCAAACAUACACAAAGGUGAACAGAUAUUUGGAUGAAUGUUUGUUAUCCAUCACCUGUCCUAUAUACCCAUUGAUAUGGUUUGGCUGUCACUCAAAUAUCAUCUUGAAUGGUAGCUCUCAUAAUUCCCAUGUGUUGUGGGAGGGACCCGGUGGGAGAUAAUUGAAUCAUGGGGGUGGUUUUCCCCAUAACUGUUCUUAUGGUAGAGAAUAAGGCUCAUGAGAUCUGAUGGUUUUAUAAGGGGAAACCCCUUUCACUUGGU
rnacentral:lncRNA from 1 species